rnacentral:lncRNA from 1 species
GCAAAGGGUGGGGGGUGUUGCAAUCUUUUGAAACUUAAAAACGAGCUAUUAAGUGUCUAUAAUCAGCACAAUUGCUUUCAUUGCGUAUUAUUAAUAUUAUUUAAAUUACAUAGUUAUGUUUCAGUGAUAUAUUGGGGGGGACAAAUCAUAUUUUUCCCAGGAUGGGGGGGUCGUGUCCCCCCCGGGAUUUCCGCCCCUGACCAUACCCAUCACUGAGGUAUAAUAUAUACUACACUGAGGUAUAAUAUAUACUACACAUUAAUAUAUAUACACUAUACUACACAUUAAUAUAUACACUAUACUACACAUUAAUAUAUACACUAUGCUACACAUUAAUAUAUACACUAUACUACACAUUAAUAUAUACACUAUGCUACCAUACCAUCACAGGAGGAGGACUGGACCCAUCACUGAGGUACCGUAGCCAACACUUGUUCUACACCUUGGGCCAGUUCUCUCGACCCAGACAUAGUUACAGUGCAAAGUGCUAUACAGAAAUGACAUUCAACAACGGCCAAGUAAAAAAACACAAUGAAAGCUGAGUCAGGAAAAAAUUAAAUUAUGUGAGAAAGAAAUGUAAUAAUGGGGAAGGACACAGCUAAUGUAAUAUUGGGAAGGACACAGCUAAUGUAAUAAUGGGGAAGGACACAGCUAAUGUAAUAUUGGGGAAGGACACAGCUAAUGUAAUAAUGGGGAAGGACACAGCUAAUGUAAUAUUGGGGAAGGACACAGCUAAUGUAAUAAUGGGGAAGGACACAGCUAAUGUAAUAAUGGGGAAGGACACAGCUAAUGUAAUAAUGGGGAAGGACACAGCUAAUGUAAUAUUGGGAAGGACACAGCUAAUGUAAUAAUGGGGAAGGACACAGCUAAUGUAAUAUUGGGAAGGACACAGCUAAUGUAAUAAUGGGGAAGGACACAGCUAAUGUAAUAAUGGGGAAGGACACAGCUAAUGUAAUAAUGGGAAGGACACAGCUAAUGUAAUAAUGGGGAAGGACACAGCUAAUGUAAUAAUGGGGAAGGACACAGCUAAUGUAAUAAUGGGGAAGGACACAGCUAAUGUAAUAAUGGAGAAGGACACAGCUAAUGUAAUAAUGGGGAAGGACACAGCUAAUGUAAUAAUGGGGAACGACACAGCUAAUGUAAUAAUGGGAAGGACACAGCUAAUGUAAUAAUGGAGAAGGACACAGCUAAUGUAAUAAUGGGGAAGGACACAGCUAAUGUAAUAAUGGAGAAGGACACAGCUAAUGUAAUAAUGGGGAAGGACACGGCUAAUGUAAUAAUGGGGAAGGACACAGCUAAUGUAAUAUUGGGAAGGACACAGCUAAUGUAAUAAUGGGAAGGACACAGAUAAUGUAAUAAUGGGGAAGGACACAGCUAAUGUAAUAUUGGGAAGGACACAGCUAAUGUAAUAAUGGGGAAGGAGCUAAUGUAAUAAUGGGGAAGGACACAGCUAAUGUAAUAAUGGGGAAGGACACAGCUAAUGUAAUAAUGGGAAGGACACAGCUAAUGUAAUAAUGGGGAAGGACACAGCUAAUGUAAUAAUGGGGAAGGACACAGCUAAUUUAAUAAUGGGGAAGGACACAGCUAAUGUAAUAAUGGGGAAGGACACAGCUAAUGUAAUAAUGGGGAAGGACACAGCUAAUGUAAUAAUGGAGAAGGACACAGCUAAUGUAAUAAUGGGAAGGACACAGAUAAUGUAAUAAUGGGGAAGGACACAGAUAAUGUAAUAAUGGGGAAGGACAAAGCUAAUGUAAUAAUGGGGAAGGACACAGCUAAUGUAAUAAUGGAGAAGGACACAGCUAAUGUAAUAAUGGGGAAGGACACAGCUAAUGUAAUAAUGGAGCAAGACACAGCUAAUGUAAUAAUGGGGAAGGACACAGCUAAUGUAAUAAUGGGGAAGGACACAGCUAAUGUAAUAAUGGGGAAGGACACAGAUAAUGUAAUAAUGAGGAAGGACACAGCUAAUGUAAUAAUGGGAAGGACACAGCUAAUGUAAUAAUGGAGAAGGACACAGCUAAUGUAAUAAUGGGGAAGGACACAUCUAAUGUAAUAAUGGGGAAGGACACAGCUAAUGUAAUAAUGGGGAAGGACACAGCUAAUGUAAUAAUGGGGAAGGACACAGCUAAUGUAAUAAUGGGGAAGGACACAGCUAAUGUAAUAAUGGGAAGGACACAGCUAAUGUAAUAAUGGAGAAGGACACAGCUAAUGUAAUAAUGAGGAAGGACACAGCUAAUGUAAUAAUGGGGAAGGACACAGCUAAUGUAAUAAUGGAGAAGGACACAGCUAAUGUAAUAAUGGGAAGGACACAGCUAAUGUAAUAAUGGGGAAGGACACAGCUAAUGUAAUAAUGGGGAAGGACACAGCUAAUGUAAUAAUGGGGAAGGACACAGCUAAUGUAAUAAUGGGGAAGGACACAGCUAAUGUAAUAAUGGGGAAGGACACAGCUAAUGUAAUAAUGGGAAGGACACGGGUAAUGUAAUAAUGGAGAAGGACACAGCUAAUGUAAUAAUGGGGAAGGACACAGCUAAUGUAAUAAUGGGGAAGGACACAGCUAAUGUAAUAAUGGGAAGGACACAGCUAAUGUAAUAAUGGGAAGGACACAGAUAAUGUAAUAAUGGGAAGGACACAGCUAAUGUAAUAAUGGGGAAGGACACAGCUAAUGUAAUAAUGGGAAGGACACAGCUAAUGUAAUAAUGGGGAAGGACACAGCUAAUGUAAUAAUGGGGAAGGACACAGCUAAUGUAAUAAUGGGGAAGGACACAGCUAAUGUAAUAAUGGGGAAGGACACAGCUAAUGUAAUAAUGGAGAAGGACACAGCUAAUGUAAUAAUGGGGAAGGACACAGCUAAUGUAAUAAUGGGGAAGGACACAGCUAAUGUAAUAAUGGGGAAGGACACAGCUAAUGUAAUAAUGGGGAAGGACACAGCUAAUGUAAUAAUGGGAAGGACACAGCUAAUGUAAUAAUGGGGAAGGACACGGCUAAUGUAAUAAUGGGGAAGGACACAGCUAAUGUAAUAAUGGGAAGGACACAGCUAAUGUAAUAAUGGGGAAGGACACAGCUAAUGUAAUAAUGGGGAAGGACACAGCUAAUGUAAUAAUGGGGAAGGACACGGGUAAUGUAAUAAUGGGGAAGGACACGGGUAAUGUAAUAAUGGGGAAGGACAUGGGUAAUGUAAUAAUGGGGAAGGACACGGGUAAUGUAAUAAUGGGGAAGGACACGGGUAAUGUAAUUAGGGGCCAUAAAGCGGUGUCUAGAUGUUUACAAGCUCUCGACUUGUCCACCGUCAGGUUGAGGGGACUGAGGACGAAGCCCGGCAGGCCGCAGCGCCAGACAGGACCAAAGCAGCAGAAUCGGAGACAGGAGAAACAUCAACAACAUCCACAUCAACCCCAGCCCCACCAGAUACCCACUGUGGAGGAAGAGGAGGAGGAGGAAGAGGAGAGGAGGCAGUAACCAUCAACCUCAAGCCCUCGAACGCCUACGAGUUCAACCAGUCCCUGAACGCAGCGCGGACCCAGUCCGACCUCCCAGCCUGCGCUGAGCUGCUGAGCUGUGUUCCCCCUGAGACUCUGCCCGUCUACCUCAGUAAUCAGCUGGAUGGACACACGGUCAGCUUUGUUAUGCAGGCCCUGGAAACACAGCUCUUACGGAAGGAGCCUAACUUAGUCUACCAGCACCUCAACCACCUACAUACUGCUGACAGGUUCUCGGUCGUCGUGAUGCUCCUGGAGAAGAGUGAACGUGAUCAGAUGACUCGACUGUUUGACCGUCUGUCCGCCGUGGACAGUGAUGCCUUCAGUAAGAACGACGUGCAGAACCUGGCCAACAAGUACAUCUGACCUCGUCUGGCCCUGCUGGAGCACGUCCCAAAUAGGCCCCUAUUUACCUAGUGCACUAUGGAGGGAAUAAGGCGCCAUAAUGGGACGGUCGUAAGACGCCUAUCAACAUCGCAAGCCGACUUUAAAAACGAAUCCAGACUGGAAAAAUCACCUUUCCGUCAUAAAUAAAGACUAAAUAUUAUUUUGGUAGGUCAAGUCUUAAUUUACCCAUGAUUACAUCGCGUUGUUUUGAUGAUGUUCUCGAACUCGACCCCUUCGUUCUGGCGUGCACCUUCCUGUCGUACGCCGAAGCGUCCCGACGUAACAGACAGGAUCUAUGCAACGUUGGACAACACGACUCAGAAGCUGCUGAACGUACUGGGGAGCGUUAUGGACCCAAAACCCACCUCUUUCUUUCUCUCAAGUUCUCUCGGUAUAAUAUCACGUCUCUACCUACUGUAUCUCUCUCUCCCUCUCUCUCUCUCUCUCUCUCUCUCUCUCUCUCUCUCUCUCCAAAUACCUUUUAUAAUAUCACAUCUCUACCUACUGUUACUAGGUAUCUCUCUCUCCCUCUCUCUCUCUCCCCCUCUCUCUCUCACACACACACACACACACACACACACACACACACACACACACACACACACACACACACACACACACACACACACACACACACACACACACACACACACACACACACACACAACCUGGAAGUGUUUUAGCUUUAGUUGACUGGCAAGUAAAUGUUGAAAUGCUGUGAACUAUUUAGCUUUUAAAACAUUGAUUCAUAGGUCCAAUGUACAAGAUAUCUUUCAAGCAUUCCCCUUCUGGGUCCGUGUGCUGCGUCCAGGUCCAUUCUCCAGGCUGGCAGAACCAUUAAAAUAAAAAAAAAGACAGAUAACACCCAUAACAAUGUAUGACUACUUUUCCAGGCGGUUUGACUGGCCAAUAGAGGUUGAUUUGUACCCGGGUUAGAAAUUUAAAAAAAAAAAUGGGGAAGGGGGACAAUGAAUUCCAAGCUAGGAGACAUAACGACUUGAAUUGACUGGGCUAGCGUUAGCCCCAGAUGCUAUUCAGAAAAACAACACUUUGUAUUACAGCUUUUACCAUCCUGAUAUUAAAGUAGAUUAACGCAUGCUGCAUAUCAGAAUAUUAACCAAGUGUAUAACAAUCCAAAAAAAAAACUAUUUCCUCUGGGGGUUCAAGGAGUCUUUACCAUCCAUUCUCUGUCUAGAAAUACAAUGCUAGUUUUGGAAGUUGCCUCAGUUCUGUGUAUGAAAACAAUGAUGAAUGAAGCAACUUACAAUGUGCACAAUACUAAAUGGGUAUUAUACAGUACUGCAAUUCAAGGUAAAUGCAAAGUAAUUGUGUAAAAACAUUUGUCUUUUGAAGAAAUGACCAGAAGUUAUGAAAAUGCCCCAGCCAGUCAGCCAGCCAGCCAGCAGAGCACCCUUCCAUCUGCAGUAAUCAGAAGUAUAAUGCUCUGUAACAUGCAGCCAGCCAGCCAGUCAGCCAGCCAGCCAGCCAGUGGAGCACCCUUCCAUCUGCAGUAAUCAGCAGUCUAAUGCUCUGUAACAUGCAGCCAGCCAGCCAGCCAGCCAGCCAGCCAGCCAGCCAGUCAGCAGAGCACCCUUCCAUCUGCUCACAGUGGAGAGAAGACAAGCAGCAUCUUUGUCAGAUGUGCCUUUGGAGUUCAGCUUUUGGAUCUACACUGUUCUGUUGUGUACCCAUUUCAGAUGUUCUGUUGUGUACCCAUUUCAGAUGUUCUGUUGGGUACCCAUUUCAGAUGUUCUGUUGUGUACCCAUUUCAGAUGUUCUGUUGGGUACCCAUUUCAGAUGUUCUGUUCUGUUGGGUACCCAUUUCAGAUGUUCUGUUCUGUUGGGUACCCAUUUCAGAUGUUCUGUUGGGUACCCAUUUCAGAUGUUCUGUUCUGUUGGGUACCCAUUUCAGAUGUUCUGUCGUGUACCCAUUUCAGAUGUUCUGUUCUGUUGGGUACCCAUUUCAGAUGUUCUGUCGGGUACCCAUUUCAGAUGUUCUGUUGGGUACCCAUUUCAGAUGUUCUGUUGGGUACCCAUUUCAGAUGUUCUGUUGUGUACCCAUUUCAGAUGUUCUGUUGGGUACCCAUUUCAGAUGUUCUGUUGUGUACCCAUUUCAGAUGUUCUGUUGGGUACCCAUUUCAGAUGUUCUGUUGUUCUGUUGGGUACCCAUUUCAGAUGUUCUGUCGUGUACCCAUUUCAGAUGUUCUGUUGUUCUGUUGUGUACCCAUUUCAGAUGUUCUGUUGUGUACCCAUUUCAGAUGCCCAUUUCAGAUGUUCUGUUGGGUACCCAUUUCAGAUGUUCUGUUGGGUACCCAUUUCAGAUGUUCUGUUGGGUACCCAUUUCAGAUGUUCUGUUGUAUGCCCAUUUCAGAUGUUCUGUUGGGUACCCAUUUCAGAUGUUCUGUUGGGUACCCAUUUCAGAUGUUCUGUUGUGUACCCAUUUCAGAUGCCCAUUUCAGAUGUUCUGUUGUUGCAGAUUUAAAAACAUUUAAAAUGACUUGUCAAAAUGUUAGUGUGUUCUUCUUUCUAAAAUGAAUGAAUGUACCGUGUUGAAUUCAGGGAGACGAGCGGAGCGGCAGCUGUUUGUAGCCUGGAGCAAUAGCUGCAUGGUCAGCGGGCUAGCGGCUCAGGGAGGGGGUCAGCAGGCUAGCGGCUCAGGGAGGGGGUCAGCGGCUCAGGGAGGGGGGUCAGCGGCUCAGGGAGGG